rnacentral:rRNA from 1 species
UACGAAGGGUGCAAGCGUUACUCGGAAUUACUGGGCGUAAAGGGUGCGUAGGUGGUUGUUUAAGUCUGUUGUGAAAGCCCCGGGCUCAACCUGGGAAUGGCAAUGGAUACUGGACAGCUAGAGUGCGGUAGAGGGUAGUGGAAUUCCCGGUGUAGCAGUGAAAUGCGUAGAGAUGCGGAGGAACACCGAUGGCGAAGGCAGCCCCCUGGGCCAACACUGACGCUCAGGCACGAAAGCGUGGGGAGCAAACAGG